UUCAUUUUGGGGUAAUAAAAUGUAGGGCCUGCCCACUGAUCAAUUUAAAGGGCCGCGGUAUUAUGACCGUGCAAAGGUAGCAUAAUCAUUAGUCUCUUAAUUAGAGAAUGGAAUGAAUGGUUUAACUUUGUGUUACUGUGUUAUAAUUAGUUCUUGAAUUUAAAUAUUAAGUGAAAAUUCUUAAAUGUGUUGAUUGGACGAUAAGACCCUAUAGAUCUUUAUUAGGUUUAUUAGGUUAGGGGAAAAUAAAAUCCUUUUUUAUCUGGGGUGGAUUUAAUAGUUCCUAUAAAAGAUUAUAUUAUUAGUCCUGUAGUAUGGAUAAAUAAGAUACCUUAGGGGUAACAGCGUAAUUUACUAAUAGAGUUCUUAUCGAUUAGAAAGUUUGCGACCUCGAUGUUGAAUUAAAAAUUUUUUGUGGGGUAGAUUUUAUUAAGUAUAGUCUGUUCGACUAUUAAGUUUUUACA
rnacentral:rRNA from 1 species